rnacentral:ncRNA from 1 species
AAUCAAUUGAAUGAACGGCCUCAUAUAAAAUCGGGAAUAUGGCCCGAAAGUUUCUACCCUGCACCGUAAAUGACAGGACUAUGAGGGAAAGAGUCAGGCGA